rnacentral:lncRNA from 1 species
AUGAAGUCUCAAAAGCUCGAAUCGAAGCAUCGAGUCAACAUCGUACCCUGCACGUUCCAUUCUGUUUGUAAGUUGCGAAACAAUCUCCAUCUUUUCUCUAGAUUGGAGGAGGGAGCUUAGGAGGUAGUUGCAAACUCUAGGCAUCAGCUUGAAGUUGUUAUCUAGAGUGUAUAAGAACACAUCUAUUGCUGCAUCAAGUUGUUCUCUUUUGCAGAGUCCAUGAAUCAGUUUGACACAACUCGGAGGUGUGACAAGGAUCUUCUUCUCCCUUAAAACCGAAAACACCAUCAAGGCCUCGUGAAAUCUCCCUGAUUGGCAUAACCCGAUCAGCCAUAUCGUGUAAGGCCCUAACGUUAACUCGUCUUUUCUGGUAUCCAAUUCAAUAAGUCGUCUUAAAGCUCUCUCGGUUUCCCCUUCCUUGAAACAUUGUUCAAUCUCAUUAGCUGUUUCAUCAUCCAGGCAAGAUAUCUUCUUUAGGUAUUUCAUCCAUAGAUUAAAAGCCACCAAGAGCUUUCUUC